rnacentral:ncRNA from 2 species
UCCGGAGAGUGACGGCCGAGUGGUCGUCCGCCGAAGGAGAAAGCGGGACGAGGGAAUGAUCCCUGGCCCGUGAAGCUCUCAGGCUCGUGACGGA